AUGACUAGGGAUAACCUUAGGAAGAGACACAUCAUCAAACCCCUUGAUUGUGUUUACUGCUUGGAACAAGAGCUUGUUCACCUAUUUUUUGAAUGUAUAGUUGCUAAACAUCUCUGGGCCCACAUUGAGGAAUAUUUCUCUAGUCAGAUUGGCUCAUCCUUCGAAUCUGUCGCCAGAUUCUGGAUUGCUACCAAAAAGUGCUCAAUUUUAAACACUGUUAGCUCAGCUGUCCUUUGGUGCCUCUGGAAAUAUAGAAAUGCUAUGAUUUUCAGUAACACCUCCUGGAUUUCCAUUCCGCAGGUCUUGAGGUUGAUCAGGAACAUGGUGAGGAACUGGGCGACUCUCUCCUCUGGAUCGGACAAGGACAAGUUGAUGAGCUUCGUGGAAACCCUAACAAGAUCCCUCCAGAAACCGUUGGCGAUCACUUGUGGCUGA
rnacentral:rRNA from 1 species